rnacentral:rRNA from 1 species
UACGUAGGGUGCUAGCGUUGCUCGGAAUUACUGGGCGUAAAGGGAGCGUAGGCGGACAUUUAAGUCAGGGGUGAAAUCCCGGGGCUCAACCUCGGAAUUGCCUUUGAUACUGGGUGUCUUGAGUAUGAGAGAGGUAUGUGGAACUCCGAGUGUAGAGGUGAAAUUCGUAGAUAUUCGGAAGAACACCAGUGGCGAAGGCGACAUACUGGCUCAUUACUGACGCUGAGGCUCGAAAGCGUGGGGAGCAAACAGG